rnacentral:rRNA from 1 species
GAUGAACGCUGGCGGCGUGCCUAAUACAUGCAAGUCGAGCGAACAGACGAGGAGCUUGCUCCUCUGACGUUAGCGGCGGACGGGUGAGUAACACGUGGAUAACCUACCUAUAAGACUGGGAUAACUUCGGGAAACCGGAGCUAAUACCGGAUAAUAUAUUGAACCGCAUGGUUCAAUAGUGAAAGACGGUUUUGCUGUCACUUAUAGCUGGAUCCGCGCCGCAUUAGCUAGUUGGUAAGGUAACGGCUUACCAAGGCAACGAUGCGUAUCCGACCUGAUAGGGAGAUCGGACACACUGGAACUGAGAAAAGGUCCAGACUCCUAAGGGAGGCAGCAGUAGGGAAUCUUCCGCAAUGGGGGAAAGCCUGACGGCGCAACGCCGCGGGAGUGAUGAAGGUCUUCGGAUCGUAAAACUCUGUUAUUAGGGAAGAACAAAUGUGUAAGUAACUAUGCACGUCUUGACGGUACCUAAACAGAAAGCCACGGCUAACUACGUG